rnacentral:rRNA from 1 species
UCGGGAAUUUUGCGCAAUGGACGAAAGUCUGACGCAGCAACGCCGCGUGAGGGAUGACGGCCUUCGGGUUGUAAACCUCUUUUGUCAGGGACGAUGAUGACGGUACCUGACGAAUAAGCCACGGCUAACUACGUGCCAGCAGCCGCGGUAAUACGUAGGUGGCAAGCGUUGUCCGGAUUUACUGGGCGUAAAGAGCGCGCAGGCGGUCGUUCAAGUCGCGUGUGAAAGCCCCCGGCUCAACUGGGGAGGGUCACGCGAUACUGAUCGACUCGAAGGCAGGAGAGGGUAGUGGAAUUCCCGGUGUAGUGGUGAAAUGCGUAGAUAUCGGGAGGAACACCAGUGGCGAAGGCGACUACCUGGCCUGUUCUUGACGCUGAGGCGCGAAAGCUAGGGGAGCAAACGGGAUUAGAUACCCCGGUAGUCCUAGCCGUAAACGAUGGACACUAGGUGUUGGUGGUAUCAACCCCGCCAGUGCCGAAGCUAACGCAUUAAGUGUCCCGCCUGGGGAGUACGGCCG